ACCAGAUCGUCGCUCCAUCUCGUGGGGGGCCUGCCUACGCUGCAUCUCCCGGAUACUACGAUGUACGAUGGAAUAGUGAACUGAUAAUGAUGCCAGGCCGCUCCGUGACCACAAGUCUGUAAUGACUUCAAAAUAUCGACAAAAAAUUAUAAUAUAAACAAAAUCACGAUAAAA